GUGUAAUUAACUCUACACGUUCGCUCGGCCUCCUUUUCCCCUCGCCGUCGCUCCCUCGCUCAGACCGACGCGCACCGCCGCCUCCCACCGGCAUCUCCUUCCGCCGCCGCCGCCGCCGCCUAACUACCUCCCUGUGCCGGAAGCCCAGCUCCCCGCAGCGUCUAUUGUUCCUCCCCUGCAACGACUCCAGCCUCCGACUGCACGCGCGAAGCCCUCCUCCGAACUUGACAUCGACACCGGCGCCGGCGAGACGAGACGACCAGCCGGGUGUCACUUGCUCGAAUUCGUUCAGAUCGUAACUAGGUCCUGACAGCGAAUCCCUGUCUAGCUAGCUGACUCGCUCUCUUCCUGCGCCGUUGAGAGCGAGGAGGUGGAGGCGAUGGGGACCAUGACGAUCGGUGCCAAGUACAAGGCCACGCUCAAGGACCGCGGCACCGGCGGCGUCCUCCGCAUGAGUGAAGAUAAGUUAACAUUUACCCCUAAUGAUCCACGCUCACUAAUGAAGCUCAGUGUCGAUUUUCGGACCAUCAAAGGCCAUAAGUUCAACAAGGUAGAUGGUAGCAAACCAUCACCGGCAUUAUUGAAUCUUUCAAAAGAUUCUGACAAGGGGGGAGGCUAUAUUUUUGAGUUUGAGAAUGUUGGUAACCGUGAUUUUUGCCGCGACUUUGUAGCUAGGGUUUUAGGCAAACAUCAAGGUACUGUGCCUGCUAGACCAAAUGUACCUCCUGAGAUAUCAGCUGUGUCAACUGGUCCAGAACAGCUCAGUUCUGCUGAAAUGGAACGGCGGAUGAAAUUGCUACGAGAAGACAGUGAACUGCAGAAGUUACAUAAGAAGUUUGUGCUUGGCAAUAUUCUCCAAGAGUCUGAAUUUUGGGCAACAAGAAAGAAUUUACUUAACGAUGAAACAAACAAAGCAUCAAAACAAAAGCCAGGUUUCAAAAGUGCCAUGCUAGCUGAUGUUAGGCCAUCGGCUGAUGGACAGACAAACAAGGUUACUUUCAGUCUGACUACUGAGAUUAUCCAUCAGAUUUUCGCAGAAAAGCCAGCUGUGCAUCGGGCAUUUUUAGAUUAUGUCCCGAAGAAGUUGUCAGAAAAGGAUUUUUGGACAAAGUACUGUAGAGCUGAGUAUCUACUUAGGACAAAAAAUACUUUAGCGGCAAAAGCUGAGGCCGCUGAUGAUGAGGAAUUAGCCAUGUUUUUGAAAAACGAUGAUAUACUUGCCAAGGAGGCAAAGCUCAAGAUAAAACGAGUUGAUCCAACAUUAGACAUGGAGGCAGAUGCAGGGGAUGACUACAUCCAUCUUCCGGAUCAUGGGAUUCUCCGUGAUGGCAGCAGAGAGACAACUGAUAUUGAUAGCGAGUUGGCUAGGAGAACACUUUCUCAGGAUCUGAAUCGGCAUGCUGCUGUUGUUCUUGAAGGGAGAUCAACAGAUAUUGAAUCAACUGAUACGAAGACUGUGGCUGAAGCACUUGCACGGUCCAAGAAGGAACCACCUCCUAGCUCUGUUGCUGAUGAUGCUAGUCAUGUGAGAUUGGUAAAGGUGGCCCGCAUGACUGAGAUAGAGGAUCUGCAAGCUCCACGAAGUCUCCCAUAUGCACCACUUUGUAUAAAGGAUCCUCGAGAAUAUUUUGAUUCUCAGCAAGCCAAUGCUCUGAGACCUUUAGGUAGCAACGAUGGAAGAAAGGCCCGCAGCUGCAGCCUGAGCACCGAUGAUGCAUUCCGUCAUUUAAUGGAUCAAAUAUCUUCCGUGAAAAUGAACUGUCCGGUUGUUCAGUCAGAUGUUGCUCUAAAGGUUCUUAAUGAAUUGAAUGAAGGAAUUUCACGUUCACGGAGGCUUAAUCUUAAGAAUCCCCAAGACAGUCUCCUUGGUCGUCUUCCUCACCGAACACGAGAUGAACUUAUGGAUCAUUGGACGGCUAUCCAGGAGUUGCUGUGCCAUUUUUGGUCAUCAUACCCAAUAACAACCACAGUCCUUUGUAAUAAGGUUCAACGGCUUAAGGAUGCAAUGACACAGAUAUAUCAGAAGUUACAGAUUGGUGGUGAGGUUUCUUCUGCAUAAAAUGAUGCAUCGUGUGUGCAACUUCGGACGUGCAGGAUAUAAAGGAAGCAGCACAGCCUGAUGUACGGCAUGAAAUAUCUCAACUCGUAAAGCCCAUGACUCAGGCGCUGGAUGCUGCAUUCAACCAUGAGCAGCAGCAGAAAUCUUCAAAGGCCGGGAGCAAGCCCAAUGGGUUUUGAGCAGAGAAUACCCACCACCCAUAAGGAUUUAACCUGAUUACUGCUAGAGCGUGAGGGCUGCCACACCUGUGAGCUCUUGGCGGCAAUGAUGUGCUAUUGAACUGGAGGCUUUGAUUUUGCUGUGUAUUUUUAUUUAACGUUUUUUAUUUGAAACAAGGCAAAAGCUUUGCCAUUUUCAUUAAUUAAGAAGAGGGUUUUGAUACACACGCCGCCAAGCGGCAAACGCGACGUAUUACUCUCGUGGCAUCUCGCGGCAUUACAUUACUCAAGUGCUUGGCACCCGCAAUGGCCCAAAGCGACAUUUUCUCUUUGAUGUUUCGCAAGA